rnacentral:rRNA from 1 species
UACAGAGGGGGCAAGCGUUGUUCGGAAUUACUGGGCGUAAAGGGCGCGUAGGCGGCCUGUUAAGUCGAACGUGAAAUCCCCGGGCUCAACCCGGGAACUGCGUCCGAUACUGGCAGGCUUGAAUUCGGGAGAGGGAUGUGGAAUUCCAGGUGUAGCGGUGAAAUGCGUAGAUAUCUGGAGGAACACCGGUGGCGAAGGCGGCAUCCUGGACCGAUAUUGACGCUGAUGCGCGAAAGCCAAGGGAGCAAACGGG